rnacentral:rRNA from 1 species
ACAGAUGACGACCGGCGCACGGGUGCGUAACGCGUAUAGAAUCUACCUUUUGCUGCAGGAUAGCCCAGAGAAAUUUGGAUUAAUACUGCAUAGUAUACACUACUUUCAUGAGUUAUGUAUUAAAGGUUACGGCAAAAGAUGACUAUGCGUCCUAUUAGCUAGAUGGUAAGGUAACGGCUUACCAUGGCAACGAUAGGUAGGGGCCCUGAGAGGGGGAUCCCCCACACUGGUACUGAGACACGGACCAGACUCCUACGGGAGGCAGCAGUGAGGAAUAUUGGACAAUGGAGGCAACUCUGAUCCAGCCAUGCCGCGUGCAGGAUGACUGCCCUAUGGGUUGUAAACUGCUUUUAUACAGGAAGAAACACUGCUACGUGUAGCAGCUUGACGGUACUGUAAGAAUAAGGAUCGGCUAACUCCGUGCCAGCAGCCGCGGUAAUACGGAGGAUCCAAGCGUUAUCCGGAAUCAUUGGGUUUAAAGGGUCCGUAGGUGGAUAAUUAAGUCAGAGGUGAAAGUUUGCAGCUCAACUGUAAAAUUGCCUUUGAUACUGGUUAUCUUGAAUCAUUAUGAAGUGGUUAGAAUAUGUAGUGUAGCGGUG